GAGUCGGACCUGCCCAGUGAAUAUAUUUUAACGGCCGCGGUACUCUGACCGUGCAAAGGUAGCAUAAUCAUUUGCCCUAUAAUUGAGGGCUAGUAUGAAUGGUUUGACGUGAACAAAGCUGUCUCUAUGUAAUUUUUUAGAAUUUGAUCUCUAGGUGAGGAAACCUAGAUUUAAUUGAAAGACAAGAAGACCCUAUUGAGCUUUAAAAAAAUAAAUUGAAAAUAAUAUAUAAUUUUAAAUAUUAAUCUAUUUUAGAUUUUGGUUGGGGCGACUAUGGAACAAAUAAAGCUUCUUUAUUAAUCAAUAAGACUUACAAGUGUUGAUCCAGAAAUUUUGAUCAAUGGAAUUAGUUACCAUAGGGAUAACAGCAUAAUUCUCUUUGAGAGUCCUUAUCGAAAAGAGAGUUUGUGACCUCGAUGUUGGACUAGAAUAUCCUAAAGAUGCAGCAGUCUUUAAGGGUUGGUC
rnacentral:rRNA from 1 species